GAUGAACGCUGGCGGCGUGCCUAAUACAUGCAAGUAGAACGCAGUUGCGAACGGGUGCGUAACGCGUAGGUAACUGCCUCAUAGCGGGGGUGACUUCUUGGAAACGAUAGCUAAUACCCCCUACUGUUCGCUGUACCUUCUUUGUAUUAUCUAGUUGGUGAGGUAAAGGCUCCACAAGGCCUCGCUACAUAGCCGACCUGAGAGGUGGAGCGGCCAAAACGGGAAUGAGACACGGCCCAGACUCCUAAGGGAGGCAGCAGUAGGGAAUAAUCGGCAAUGGACGGAAGUCUGAUCGAGCAACGCCGCGGGAGUGAAGAAGGUUUUCGGAUCGUAAAGCUAUGUUGUGAGAGAAGCGGUAACUAACCAGAAAGGGACGGCUAACUACGUGCCAGCAGCCGCGGUAAUAC
rnacentral:rRNA from 1 species